rnacentral:rRNA from 1 species
AGUGAACGCUGGCGGUAGGCCUAACACAUGCAAGUCGAACGGCAGCACAGGAGAGCUUGCUCUCUGGGUGGCGAGUGGCGGACGGGUGAGGAAUACAUCGGAAUCUACUCUGUCGUGGGGGAUAACGUAGGGAAACUUACGCUAAUACCGCAUACGACCUACGGGUGAAAGCAGGGGAUCUUCGGACCUUGCGCGAUUGAAUGAGCCGAUGUCGGAUUAGCUAGUUGGCGGGGUAAAGGCCCACCAAGGCAACGAUCCGUAGCUGGUCUGAGAGGAUGAUCAGGCACACUGGAACUGAGACACGGGCCAGACUCCUACGGGAGGCAGCAGUGGGGAAUAUUGGACAAUGGGCGCAAGCCUGAUCCAGCCAUACCGCGUGGGUGAAGAAGGCCUUCGGGUUGUUAAGCCCUUUUGUUGGGAAAGAAAUCCAGCUGGCUAAUACCCGGUUGGGAUGACGGUACCCAAAGAAUAAGCACCGGCUAACUUCGUGCCAGCCGCCGCGGUAA